rnacentral:rRNA from 1 species
AUACGGAGGGUGCGAGCGUUGUUCGGAAUCACUGGGCGUAAAGCGCGUGUAGGCGGUUCGUUAAGUCUGAUGUGAAAGCCCGAGGCUCAACCUCGGAAGUGCAUUGGAUACUGGCGAGCUAGAGUCCCGGAGAGGAGGGUGGAAUUCCUGGUGUAGCGGUGAAAUGCGUAGAUAUCAGGAGGAACACCGGCGGCGAAGGCGGCCCUCUGGACGGUGACUGACGCUGAGACGCGAAAGCGUGGGGAGCAAACAGGAUUAGAAACCCCGGUAGUCC